GCAAACUUGGUCAUUUAGAGGAAGUAAAAGUCGUAACAAGGUUUCCGUAGGUGAACCUGCGGAAGGAUCAUUAUUGAAUAAACUUGAUGUGGUUGUAGCUGACUCUUUACUGAGUAAGUGCUCGCCCGUCAUCUUUAUCUUUCCACCUGUGCACUUUUUGUAGACUUGGAUGUAACUUUGCUGAGGUUAACUCGGUUAUUAGGAAUGCUAUCUAGCUUUCCUUGCAUGUCCAAGUCUAUGUUUCUAUUUACCCCAAUCAAUGUUUAGAAUGUUCUAAGCCUUCGUGCUUAUAAACUUAUACAACUUUCAGCAACGGAUCUCUUGGCUCUCGCAUCGAUGAAGAACGCAGC
rnacentral:misc_RNA from 1 species